GCCACCUGCUGCUCCCCACUCGCUGGCCCAGCUCCGCCCGAGUCUCCUCCCCCGACUCUCCACCGCCGCGACACAGCUCUGCUACCCGGAGCGGCGCUCCCUGCUACUCCUCUUCAGCCGUAUCUGCAUGCUUUCCUCGUCGGAUUUCCAGGUCUGCACCAUAAUCGGCUCUUGAUCUGGACAUUUAUCAACUACUCGCCCUAAUUUUCGUUCCUUUCCCCCUUGUGUGUGUACGAGAUCAUCUGUCGAAGAUAAAAAAAAGCGGGCCGGUGAGACCGGUGUUCAUCUGAUGAUUUGAUUUGUUUGGAUCACAUUGACAUCAGAUUGUCCCAAAUUACUGGAUGUAAUUUCUGCAUGCUUGUAGAUGUGAUUCACUUCAUGUUCUCCAAGGUUGGCUCUGACUUAAUCAUGGAUGCUACAUGCAGAAAACUACUUUCAGUAUUCAGGAGAAGGGCGCUCUGUUUACUAAAUCAGACAACAAAGUGAAGAAAGCUACUAUCGGCUUUUGUGCUAGAACUCCAAAACGGCAAAAAUAUGUGAAGGUCACAAGGAGGAAGUUAGAGGCCGGCGGUACAAGCUAAAUGUACACGCUAGCUUUCCCAUUCAAGAUAAUAGCGGCUCAGCGGUGCCAUUCUUCGUGGUGAGAGCGGUAAGGUAACGCUGUCAGCUCGCGGUCGUCCUAAGGAAUGUAUGUCAGUUGAAUACAAUUCAACAGGGAGAUGCAACUUGUUAAAUGAUUUUGACCGUGAUGUUAGUGCAAUUUUUGUUGCGGCGUAACUCACCAAGAUGUUAGUUAAAUUAUUGCGAUUUAACUCACCUGCGAUGGUAGCUUUUUUUUUUUAUCACCAAUGUAACUUACAGGUAUGUUGAUUAAAUUACCAUGAUGUAACUCACGUGUGAUGUUAAUUAAAUUAUGGCGAUGUAAUU